rnacentral:tmRNA from 1 species
GGGGGUGCACCGGUUUCGACGGAUGCGGGAGCACAUUUAUUGCAUGUAGGUGUGAAGGCGCCUUAAGCUGACAAAAAAAAUAACUGCAAAACGUAGAGAAGAAGAAGAUUCUUCAAACGAACAGUUUGCUCUUGCUGCGUAAGUAGCGGGCACGGAACUCUGAGGGUGCUGUUCCUAACUUUUAGAUGUUCUGACGCUAACAGGAACUUGGUUUUUAGUGCUUCUAACCAUUAAAGACGACAUUUAGUUAGAAUAAGGAAAAGACGCUUGUUAUGCUGCUACCUUUUCCCGACAAAUACCUCGCAUAACUAAACAUGUAGAUAUAUUUGGGUUACGCACCCGGACGGGGGUUCAAUUCCCCCCAUCUCCA